GACGAACGCUGGCGGCGUGCUUAACACAUGCAAGUCGAACGGAAAGGCCCCCACCUUGGUGGGGGUGCUCGAGUGGCGAACGGGUGAGUAACACGUGGGUGAUCUGCCCUGCACUUCGGGAUAAGCUUGGGAAACUGGGUCUAAUACCGGAUAGGACCAUGGUUUAGUGUCUCACGGUGGAAAAAUUAUUGUUUUGGUGCAGGAUGAGCUCGCGGCCUAUCAGCUUGUUGGUGGGGUAAUGGCCUACCAAGGCGUCGACGGGUAGCCGGCCUGAGAGGGUGGACGGCCACAUUGGGACUGAGAUACGGCCCAGACUCCUACGGGAGGCAGCAGUGGGGAAUAUUGCACAAUGGGCGCAAGCCUGAUGCAGCGACGCCGCGUGGGGGAUGACGGCCUUCGGGUUGUAAACUCCUUUCGUUAGGGACGAAGCCACACCUUUUUUUGGGUGUGGUGACGGUACCUUUGUUAAGAAGCACCGGCUAACUACGUGCCAGCAGCCGCGGUAAUACGUAGGGUGCGAGCGUUGUCCGGAAUUACUGGGCGUAAAGAGCUCGUAGGUGGUUUGUUGCGUCGUCUGUGAAAUUCCGGGGCUUAACUUCGGGGUGGCAGGCGAUACGGGCAUAACUAGAGUGCUGUAGGGGAGACUGGAAUUCCUGGUGUAGCGGUGGAAUGCGCAGAUAUCAGGAGGAACACCGAUGGCGAAGGCAGGUCUCUGGGCAGUAACUGACGCUGAGGAGCGAAAGCAUGGGGAGCGAACAGGAUUAGAUACCCUGGUAGUCCAUGCUGUAAACGGUGGGCGUGAGGUGUGGGGACCGGUUUGGUUUCUGUGCCGUAGCUAACGCAUUAAGCGCCCCGCCUGGGGAGUACGGCCGCAAGGCUAAAACUCGAAGGAAUUGACGGGGGCCCGCACAAGCGGCGGAGCAUGUGGAGAAUGCGAUGCAACGCGAAGAACCUUACCUGGGUUUGACAUGCACCAG
rnacentral:rRNA from 1 species